rnacentral:tRNA from 1 species
GGAGUAGUGUCUGAACCAAGGGCAUUUGAUAGAGGGGAAAAACGUGGGUGAAACCCCCUCCUACUCCU